AACAUACCUCAUAGUACGGAAUAACUGCGGGAAACUGUAGCUAAUACCGUAUAUUCCAGAAAUGGGAAAGAUUUAUCGCUAUGAGAUUGGCCCGCGCAAGGUUAGCUUGUUGGUAAGGUAACGGCUUACCAAGGCUCCGAUCUUUAGCUGGUUUGAGAGGAUGAUCAGCCACACUGGGACUGAGACACGGCCCAGACUCCUACGGGAGGCAGCAGUAGGGAAUAUUGGACAAUGGGGGAAACCCUGAUCCAGCAAUGCAGCGUGAGUGACGAAGGCCUUAGGGUUGUAAAACUCUUUCAUCGGUGAGGAUAAUGACAGUAGCCGAAGAAGAAGGACCGGCUAAUUCCGUGCCAGCAGCCGCGGUAAUACGGAAGGUCCUAGCGU
rnacentral:rRNA from 1 species